rnacentral:rRNA from 1 species
AGCAUGUGGUUAAUUCGACGCAACGCGCAGAACCUUUACCUGGGUUUGACAUCUCGGGAAUCUUGUGGAAACACGAGAGUGCCCUUCGGGGAGCCCGAAGACAGGUGCUGCAUGGCUGUCGUCAGCUCGUGUCGUGAGAUGUUGGGUUAAGUCCCGCAACGAGCGCAACCCUCGACCUUAGUUGCCAGCAUUCAGUUGGGCACUCUAAGGUGACUGCCGGCUAAAAGUCGGAGGAAGGUGGGGAUGACGUCAAAUCAUCAUGCCCCUUAUGACCUGGGCUACACACGUGCUACAAUGGCCGGUACAGACGGACGCAAAGCCGCGAGGUGGAGCAAAUCCUAAAAAGCCGGUCUCAGUUCGGAUUGCAGGCUGCAAUUCGCCUGCAUGAAGUCGGAAUCGCUAGUAAUCGCAGGUCAGCAUACUGCGGUGAAUACGUUCCCGGGCCUU